rnacentral:rRNA from 1 species
UACAGAGGUCUCGAGCGUUGUUCGGAUUCAUUGGGCGUAAAGGGUGCGUAGGUGGCGCUGUAAGUCGGGUGUGAAAUCCUGGGGCUUAACCCCGGAACUGCAUUCGAUACUGCAGUGCUUGAGGACUGGAGAGGAGACUGGAAUUCAUGGUGUAGCAGUGAAAUGCGUAGAGAUCAUGAGGAAGACCAGUGGCGAAGGCGGGUCUCUGGACAGUUACUGACACUGAGGCACGAAGGCCAGGGGAGCAAACGGG